AUACUUACGUGGCAGGGGGUGAUACCAUCAUCAGAAAGGUGGUUCGCCCAGAGCGAAGCUCAGCCAUUGCACUCGGGCUGUGCUGACCUUUGCGAAAUCCCCAAAUGCGGGAAUCUCGACUGCAUAAUUUCUGGUAGCGGGGUACUGCGUCUGCGCUCUCCCCUG
rnacentral:snRNA from 1 species